GACGAACGCUGGCGGCGUGCCUAAUACAUGCAAGUAGAACGCUGAAGGAGGAGCUUGCUUCUCUGGAUGAGUUGCGAACGGGUGAGUAACGCGUAGGUAACCUGCCUGGUAGCGGGGGAUAACUAUUGGAAACGAUAGCUAAUACCGCAUAAGAGUAGAUGUUGCAUGACAUUUGCUUAAAAGGUGCAAUUGCAUCACUACCAGAUGGACCUGCGUUGUAUUAGCUAGUUGGUGGGGUAACGGCUCACCAAGGCGACGAUACAUAGCCGACCUGAGAGGGUGAUCGGCCACACUGGGACUGAGACACGGCCCAGACUCUUACGGGAGGCAGCAGUAGGGAAUCUUCGGCAAUGGACGGAAGUCUGACCGAGCAACGCCGCGUGAGUGAAGAAGGUUUUCGGAUCGUAAAGCUCUGUUGUAAGAGAAGAACGAGUGUGAGAGUGGAAAGUUCACACUGUGACGGUAUCUUACCAGAAAGGGACGGCUAACUACGUG
rnacentral:rRNA from 1 species